UAGGGAAUCUUCGGCAAUGGACGGAAGUCUGACCGAGCAACGCCGCGUGAGUGAAGAAGGUUUUCGGAUCGUAAAGCUCUGUUGUAAGAGAAGAACGAGUGUGAGAGUGGAAAGUUCACACUGUGACGGUAUCUUACCAGAAAGGGACGGCUAACUACGUGCCAGCAGCCGCGGUAAUACGUAGGUCCCGAGCGUUGUCCGGAUUUAUUGGGCGUAAAGCGAGCGCAGGCGGUUAGAUAAGUCUGAAGUUAAAGGCUGUGGCUUAACCAUAGUAGGCUUUGGAAACUGUUUAACUUGAGUGCAAGAGGGGAGAGUGGAAUUCCAUGUGUAGCGGUGAAAUGCGUAGAUAUAUGGAGGAACACCGGUGGCGAAAGCGGCUCUCUGGCUUGUAACUGACGCUGAGGCUCGAAAGCGUGGGGAGCAAACAGGAUUAGAUACCCUGGUAGUCCACGCUGUAAACGAUGAGUGCUAGGUGUUAGACCCUUUCCGGGGUUUAGUGCCGUAGCUAACGCAUUGAGCACUCCGCCUGGGGAGUACGACCGCAAGGUUG
rnacentral:rRNA from 1 species